UAAAAAUGGAGGGAAACAGGAAAAUGAGGGGCGCGCCUCAAAGUAUCGGAUGUUGCUCGAAAGGACUCUACGUGAGAAAUUGGACUCGCGUGGCGUUUGCAGGAAGAAAAAAAAAUGAAUUCGCGACUGGAGCA
ensembl:ncRNA C34E7.7 ncRNA